rnacentral:rRNA from 1 species
UACGAAGGGGGCGAGCGUUGUUCGGAUUUACUGGGCGUAAAGGGCGCGCAGGCGGCUUUGUUUGUCAGGCGUGAAAGCCCCGGGCUUAACCUGGGAACUGCGUUUGAUACGGCAGGGCUAGAGUUCGGGAGAGGAGCGUGGAAUUCCCAGUGUAGAGGUGAAAUUCGUAGAUAUUGGGAAGAACACCGGUGGCGAAGGCGGCGCUCUGGACCGAGACUGACGCUGAGGUGCGAAAGCGUGGGGAGCAAACAGG